CCCAACCCCCUUUUUGCUGUGCUUGCUGCCACUGCUUCUGCCUUGUGUUUCAGUACUGGUUCCUAUUUGCAAUCCUCUGUCCCUGCCCCCCCCCCCCCCCAAAAAAAAGCUAUCUGAUAUAUGAGAAUGAAGUCUGGUGGUUCUGUUUUUCCUUCACAACUGAGUGGGAAGUCAAACUGACAUUGAAGGCUUCACCUCCCUGUUCCCCUCACUACAAAAUGGAUAAUAUUUGUCUAUAGAAGCCAGAGAGAACUGGGAGCUGGAGAAUGUUUUCAUCUUAUUGUGUGAUGUUCUCCCCAUAUGAAAUUUCUUCUCUCCUCUGGCUGUUGCCCGAGACCGCCACAAAGUGAACUGUUCAUCCUAAGAGCCUACCGCUCUGUGCUCACCCUGGCUGGCGGUCACACCACUGAUUGGGGAAUCUCUGCCAAUCAGCUACAGGCCAACCCCCAGUGAUUUCACAGCCAUUUGGUCAAUGACGUGGGAACUGGUUUAAUAAAGAGCUUCUUGCUGUGCCUCUAAGGUGCUAG
rnacentral:lncRNA from 1 species